rnacentral:rRNA from 1 species
AUUGAACGCUGGCGGCAGGCCUAACACAUGCAAGUCGAACGAGUGGCGGACGGGUGAGUAAUGUCUGGGAAACUGCCCGAUGGAGGGGGAUAACCACUGGAAACGGUAGCUAAUACCGCCUACCAUCGGAUGUGCCCAGAUGGGUUUAGUUUGUGGGUGGGGUAACGGCUCACCUAGGCGACGAUCCCUAGCUGGUCUGAGAGGAUGACCGGCAAACCUGGAACGGAGACACGGCCCAAACUCCUACGGGAGGCAGCAGUGGGGAAUAUUGGACAAUGGGGGCAAGCCGGAUGCAGCCAUGCCGCGUGUAUGAAGAAGGCCUUCGGGUGGUAAAGUACUUUCAGCGGGGAGGCGUUACCCGCAGAGGAAGCACCGGCUAACUCCGUGCCAGCAGCCGCGGUAAUAC